ACACCUCAACCCUCCAAUGUUUUUUUGCAUUGCAGGUGUUGGUAGUGAGCGCUGCCGGUUUUUGGAUCGGCUCGCUUUAAAAUCAUUAGCUGGAUCCAUUCUGACCUGGUUCUACUCGGCGUAAUAAGUUAUUAUCGUCGAGGACGCCUGGCCUUUUAGGCAGGGCGGCCACAGUAAGGGUGUUUGAACCGCUUCCAACACGCCUUGCUCUUGUAGCAAACACUUGGACCU
rnacentral:misc_RNA from 1 species